AUUGAACGCUGGCGGCAUGCCUUACACAUGCAAGUCGAACGGUAACGGGCCUUCGGGUGCCGACGAGUGGCGAACGGGUGAGUAAUGCAUCGGAACGUACCUUUCAGUGGGGGAUAACGUAGCGAAAGUUACGCUAAUACCGCAUAUUCUGUGAGCAGGAAAGCAGGGGAUCGCAAGACCUUGCGCUGAUUGAGCGGCCGAUGUCAGAUUAGCUAGUUGGUGAGGUAAAGGCUCACCAAGGCGACGAUCUGUAGCGGGUCUGAGAGGAUGAUCCGCCACACUGGAACUGAGACACGGUCCAGACUCCUACGGGAGGCAGCAGUGGGGGAAUUUUGGACAAUGGGGGCAACCCUGAUCCAGCCAUGCCGCGUGAGUGAAGAAGGCCUCGGUUGUAAG
rnacentral:rRNA from 1 species